AUUGAUUUCCAAAGAGAGGUGCCAUUGGACCAGAUCUUAUAAAAAUAACUUGGAUAAUUUGAGAGGUUCAUCAUUCUUUUGUGAGUGUGUAUGUGUACAAAUAUAUGCCUAUAUAUUUCAAAUAUAUCUUAAACUUUUAUCUGUAAGACUUUACCUAAUUCAUACUACCAGUUUCUAUGCUUCCUUAAGAUUUUGAGUGUAUCUUGGAUAAAAGAAAAAAACCUCUUCCAUAUGGAAGCCAUAAUAUAGCACUGGGACAACUACCAGAAAUGCCCUGGGAAUCAAAUAUCGAAAUAGUUGGAUCAAGGCUGCCACCAGGGGCUGAAAGGAUUGCUUUGGAAUUUUUGGAAUCAAAAGCACUUUGUAGAAAUAUCCCUCACAUGAAAGGAAAACCUGCUAUGAAAAAACGACAUUUGGAAAUUCUGGGGUAUCGUGUAAUUCAGAUUUCUCAGUUUGAAUGGAACUCUAUGGCACUGUCAACAAAGGAUGCUCGGAUGGACUACCUGAGAGAACGUAUAUUUGGAGAAGUCAAGUCAUG
rnacentral:sRNA from 1 species